UCAGCCAUGCCGCGUGUGUGAAGAAGGCCUUUUGGUUGUAAAGCACUUUAAGCGAGGAGGAGGCUACCUAGAUUAAUACUCUGGGAUAGUGGACGUUACUCGCAGAAUAAGCACCGGCUAACUCUGUGCCAGCAGCCGCGGUAAUACAGAGGGUGCGAGCGUUAAUCGGAUUUACUGGGCGUAAAGCGUGCGUAGGCGGCUGAUUAAGUCGGAUGUGAAAUCCCUGAGCUUAACUUAGGAAUUGCAUUCGAUACUGGUCAGCUAGAGUAUGGGAGAGGAUGGUAGAAUUCCAGGUGUAGCGGUGAAAUGCGUAGAGAUCUGGAGGAAUACCGAUGGCGAAGGCAGCCAUCUGGCCUAAUACUGACGCUGAGGUACGAAAGCAUGGGGAGCAAACAGGAUUAGAUACCCUGGUAGUCCAUGCCGUAAACGAUGUCUACUAGCCGUUGGGGCCUUUGAGGCUUUAGUGGCGCAGCUAACGCGAUAAGUAGACCGCCUGGGGAGUACGGUCGCAAGACUAAAACUCAAAUGAAUUGACGGA
rnacentral:rRNA from 1 species